GCCAGCCUGGUGUAAUGAUUUGAAUGUUAGACUAUGACUCUGGAGAGCAGGGUUCAAAUCCCUGCUCAGCCA